UGGGGAAUAUGCACAAUGGGCGCAAGCCUGAUGCAGCAAUGCCGCGUGUGUGAAGAAGGCUGCGGGUUGUAAAGCACUUUUAUUGGGAAAGAAAAACCCGGAGCUAAUACUCCGGCAUUGACGUACCCAAAGAAUAAGCACCGGCUAACUCAGUGCCAGCAGCCGCGGUAAUACUGAGGGUGCGAGCGUUAAUCGGAAUUACUGGGCGUAAAGGGAGUGUAGGCGGUUACUUAAGUCGGAUGUGAAAUCCCCGGGCUCAACCUGGGAAUUGCAUUCGAUACUGGGUAACUAGAGUUUGGUAGAGGUAAGUGGAAUUCCGGGUGUAGCGGUGAAAUGCGUAGAUAUCCGGAGGAACAUCAGUGGCGAAGGCGGCUUACUGGACCAAAACUGACGCUGAGGCUCGAAAGCGUGGGGAGCAAACAGGAUUAGAUACCCUGGCAGUCCACGCCCUAAACGAUGUCAACUAGACGUUGGGUUCAUUAAUGAACUUAGUGUCGCAGCUAACGCGUUAAGUUGACCGCCUGGGGAGUACGGCCGCAAGGUUG
rnacentral:rRNA from 1 species